UUUUUUUUUUUUAUUAUUAUUAUUUUUAUUGUUUUUGUAUUUGGAAUAAUUGGCAGACAAAGUCAUGGUAUGAGUUGAGUCUGUAGCGAGGGGAGAGUGUUGUUUGACGCAGGUGGCGGUGAUGGGGGUGGUCGGUGUAGAUAUUGUUGCCGCUGCUGCUGAUGAUAAUGAUGGUGAUGAGAGGAUAUUCAUACACGCAUGUUCGGUUGAGUGAAUCGUAGGUUCGGGAGUUACGGGGAUGUAAUUGGUAUCAUAAUUGAGGCGGUGCAGCAUUGUCUCUUUUAUGAGCGUCUCUUUUUUUCCAGUUUGGUUCGACGGAGUUUGCCUAAUUGGCGCUGGAAGGGUUCUUUGAGAGUUUGGGUGACGAGGCACGGUGGGAAGAAGGGUUGUGGGAUUGAGGGCGGUUCGGUCAAGAUCAGAACGCCCUGUUUGUUUGAAGCGAGAAGGAGCGAUGGGAGGAUCGGAUUUUAAGGAGUUUGAAUUGGUGGAAGAUGGCGUGGAUUGGGAGGUGGAGAAGGAGAAAGAGAAGACGAAGGAGGUGGUCAAGUUGCCGAGUACGCCCGUGCUCGUUGGCCGCACUGGGAAUGGUAAGAGUGCGACUGGGAAUUCGCUUCUGGGGAGCACGGUCUUCAGGUCGCGUGCUUCGUCUGCGGCUGUCACGUCCACAUGUGAGGUUCAAUUAAAUCAUCUUGAAUUUUUAUGUGAUAAUGGGCACUAUCUAUCACAGUUAAUUGGCUUUUGCAAUUCCAUCCAACUUGUUUUUCUUUUUACCUUUCCAGCAAUUGGUCAUCACAUUUGACUGUACACAAUAAUGUUAUGGGAAUUACUAAUGUUUGGCAUUCCAUGAACUAGUUUGUAUUUUACAGUAUCCAUGAAAUUAUAUGGGUAUUGGCAAUAUGGUUUUCCUAUCACAAUCAAUAUUGUAUUUAAGUUGUCAAAAAUCAACAUUACAUGCAUUUAAUUGAGGUCCAA